rnacentral:rRNA from 1 species
UCAAAGAUUAAGCCAUGCAUGUCUAAGUAUAAGCAAUCUAUACGGUGAAACUGCGAAUGGCUCAUUAAAUCAGUUAUCGUUUAUUUGAUAGUACCUUACUACAUGGAUAACCGUGGUAAUUCUAGAGCUAAUACAUGCUAAAAACCCCGACUUCGGGAGGGGUGUAUUUAUUAGAUAAAAAACCAAUGCCCUUCGGGGCUCCUUGGUGAUUCAUAAUAACUCAACGAAUCGCAUGGCCUUGCGCCGGCGAUGGUUCAUUCAAAUUUCUGCCCUAUCAACUUUCGAUGGUAGGAUAGUGGCCUACCAUGGUAUCAACGGGUAACGGGGAAUUAGGGUUCGAUUCCGGAGAGGGAGCCUGAGAAACGGCUACCACAUCCAAGGAAGGCAGCAGGCGCGCAAAUUACCCAAUCCCAACACGGGGAGGUAGUGACAAUAAAUACUGAUACAGGGCUCUUUUGGGUCUUGUAAUUGGAAUGAGUACAAUUUAAAUCCCUUAACGAGGAACAAUUGGAGGGCAAGUCUGGUG